rnacentral:rRNA from 1 species
CCUACGGGAGGCAGCAGUGAGGAAUAUUGGUCAAUGGGCGCGAGCCUGAACCAGCCAAGUAGCGUGAAGGAUGACUGCCCUACGGGUUGUAAACUUCUUUUAUAAAGGAAUAACGUGAGGCACGUGUGCAUUUUUGUAUGUACUUUAUGAAUAAGGAUCGGCUAACUCCGUGCCAUCAGCCGCGGUAAUACGGAGGAUGCGAGCGUUAUCCGGAUUUAUUGGGUUUAAAGGGUGCGUAGGCGGAUCGUUAAGUCAGUGGUCAAAUUGAGGGGCUCAACCCCUUCCCGCCAUUGAAACUGGCGUUCUUGAGUGGAAGAGAAGUAUGCGGAAUGCGUGGUGUAGCGGUGAAAUGCAUAGAUAUCACGCAGAACCCCGAUUGCGAAGGCAGCAUGCCGGCUUCCGACUGACGCUGAAGCACGAAAGCGUGGGGAUCGAACAGGAUUAGAUACCCCUGUAGUC